GUUUGUUUGAGUGAAUCGGAAAGGAGGCGCCGGCUGUGGCGGCGGCGGGAGCUGCUCGGAAGCUACACCUCGCAAGGGCUCCCCCCUUUCCCCACCCCCUCCCCCGACCCUUUUCCCCUCCCCGGGCCACCCAGCCCGCCCAACUCCCAGCGGAGAGCAAGGUUUUCUUCUGUUUUCAUAGCCAGCCAGAACAAUGUUCUACGCACAUUUUGUUCUCAGUAAAAGAGGGCCUCUGGCCAAAAUUUGGCUAGCGGCCCAUUGGGAUAAGAAGCUAACCAAAGCCCAUGUGUUCGAGUGUAAUUUAGAGAGCAGCGUGGAGAGUAUCAUCUCACCAAAGGUGAAAAUGGCAUUACGGACAUCAGGACAUCUCUUACUGGGAGUAGUUCGAAUCUAUCACAGGAAAGCCAAAUACCUUCUUGCAGACUGUAAUGAAGCAUUCAUUAAGAUAAAGAUGGCUUUUCGGCCAGGUAUUGUUAAACUUGUUUGGUUUUUGUUGUUGUUGUUUACUUUGGAGUUUCUCAUGUUUUUUGUGUUACUGUAGCUAAACACAUUUUCUAAAUCUACAUGCUUUGUUUUAAUUGAAAUACGAGGAACCCUUCAAAGAUAGAGCAAGGCUUGGGGAGGCAGUGCUUCAAGGGAGGAAACCUACUUGCGUCUGUUCUCCCUGUGAAGUAAUGGAGCUCACCCCCAUUUGUUCUUCCUUUGGAGCUGCCUUUUUAAUACUUUUUUCAGCAGCUUACAUAGACUUGAGUCAUCAAGAGGUUAAAAUGUUGGAAACUAAUUGUUAUGUGAUGAUUUUUUAAAAUAUAGCUCAGAAAAGACAAUUUUAGGAUUUUAAACUUUUUUUCCUAAGUAAAUAUUCUUCGUAGUUUUUUGUUAUUUUGUUUUAGGUAAUGAUUGGUUAUAAAACUGGAGUCUGCCAACCACACCACCAUCUAAGAAGAUAAUUAAUAUUUAAAUUCACAUAUCUUUCUAUAAUUUUUAAAAGCAUUGAUGAAAUUUUUAUUCUAAUUAAAAUAAUGUGUAUUUUAUUAAGAAAUGCCUUAAACAGUUUCUACUGAGGAUACAUUCUAGUACUUCAGUUUAUGUCAGUAUGUGAACAGUAAAAUGUCUGAGAUCUAAGAUUUUAUUUAAAAGUAAAAUAUUUAGAAAAAGACUACAAUACUUAAAUUAACAUGUGACCAAUAAGCACAUUUUAUCUAAAUAACAUGCUUUUUUUUGUCUUUCAAAGUAAGGCAUAUUUAUUAUAGACAACUUGAAAAAUAUAGGAAAAAGAUAAAGAAAAUUAAAAUUGUGUAAUUCUUUCUCCAAAAUAACCAGCUCCUUUUAACAUUUAAGGUACUCUUCUGCAGUUAUUCUUUUUCCCCCUCAUAAAUAUCAUGUUUAAUUAGGAAACUAUUACUAGUUAUUUGUUGAUAUGUCCGUUUAAACAUUUAUGAGCUUAAUGCAUAAUUAGUGCUUUGACUUUUUCCUAAAGCAAGGAAUACAAUUUAUGAGCAUGGAAAAAGAGAAGUACUUGUGCUUCAAGGUAUUUUGCAUAUGUUAUCAACCUUUCUAUGAGAAUAUAAACUUAGGAAGUUAUACCUACUUAUCUCCCUCUGAUCCCUAGAUAAUUUAUGGGUAGCUAGAUAUUUAAGCUUAGCAUUUCUUUUCUAGGUGUGGUUGACCUGCCUGAGGAAAAUCGGGAAGCAGCUUAUAAUGCCAUUACUUUACCUGAAGAAUUUCAUGACUUUGAUCAGCCACUGCCUGACUUAGAUGACAUCGAUGUGGCCCAGCAGUUCAGCUUGAAUCAGAGUAGAGUGGAAGAGAUAACCAUGAGAGAAGAAGUUGGGAACAUCAGUAUUUUACAAGAAAAUGAUUUUGGUGAUUUUGGAAUGGAUGAUCGUGAGAUAAUGAGAGAAGGCAGUGCUUUUGAGGAUGACGACAUGUUAGUAAGCACUACUACUUCUAACCUCCUAUUAGAGUCUGAACAGAGCACCAGCAAUCUGAAUGAGAAAAUUAACCAUUUAGAAUAUGAAGAUCAAUAUAAGGAUGAUAAUUUUGGAGAAGGAAAUGAUG
rnacentral:lncRNA from 10 species